UAAUACCUGCGGUAUUUGUGAUAUUAUAUUUGUUUUUGAACUAAUUAUAUAUCGGAAGUCGAGCCAUUUGUAGCGCAUAAGCCGGACAUGAUUCGGAUUUGUAAAACAAAUAAGGUAGGCGUCCACUCUUGUAGUGGUUCGAAAAAACAAUGAUACACGGUACCGCGGGUUAUAU
rnacentral:other from 1 species